GAUGAACGCUAGCGGCAGGCCUAAUACAUGCAAGUCGAGGGGCAGCACGGACAGCAAUGUCUGGUGGCGACCGGCAAACGGGUGCGGAACACGUACACAACCUUCCUUAUGGUGGGGAAUAGCCCAGAGAAAUUUGGAUUAAUACCCUAUAGAAUGAUACUGAAGCAUUUUGGUAUGAUUAAAGGUUUAUCGCCAGAAGAUGGGUGUGCGUCUGAUUAGGUAGUUGGAGGGGUAACCGGCCCACCAAGCCAACGAUCAGUAACUGGUGUGAGAGCACGACCAGUCACACGGGCACUGA
rnacentral:rRNA from 1 species